GACGAACGCUGGCGGCGUGCCUAAUACAUGCAAGUUGAGCGCUGAAGGUUGGUACUUGUACCUACUGGAUGAGCAGCGAACGGGUGAGUAACGCGUGGGGAAUCUGCCUUUGAGCGGGGGACAACAUUUGGAAACGAAUGCUAAUACCGCAUAACAACUUUAAACACAAGUUUUAAGUUUGAAAGAUGCAAUUGCAUCACUCAAAGAUGAUCCCGCGUUGUAUUAGGUAGUUGGGGAGGUAAAGGCCCAACAAGGCGAAGAAACCUAGCCGACCUGGAAGGGUGGUCGGCCAAAAUGGGAACGGGACCACGCCCAAACCCCUUAGGGAGGCAGCAGGAGGGAAACUUCGGCCAUGGGCGAAAGUCUGACCGAGCAACGCCGCGUGAGUGAAGAAGGUUUUCGGAUCGUAAAACUCUGUUGGUAGAGAAGAACGUUGGUGAGAGUGGAAAGCUCAUCAAGUGACGGUAACUACCCAGAAAGGGACGGCUAACUACGUG
rnacentral:rRNA from 1 species